CCUACGGGAGGCAGCAGUGGGGGAUAUUGGACAAUGGGGGAAACCCUGAUCCAGCGACGCCGCGUGAGUGAAGAAGUAUUUCGGUAUGUAAAGCUCUGUCAGCAGGGAAGAAAGAAAUGACGGUACCUGACCAAGAAGCCCCGGCUAACUACGUGCCAGCAGCCGCGGUAAUACGUAGGGGGCAAGCGUUAUCCGGAAUUACUGGGUGUAAAGGGAGCGCAGGCGGCACGCUAAGCCUGAUGUGAAAGCCCGCGGCCCAACCGCGGGAGUGCAUUGGGAACUGGCGAGCUGGAGUACCGGAGGGGCAGGCGGAAUUCCUAGUGUAGCGGUGAAAUGCGUAGAUAUUAGGAGGAACACCAGUGGCGAAGGCGGCCUGCUGGACGGAGACUGACGCUGAGGCUCGAAAGCGUGGGGAGCAAACAGGAUUAGAUACCCCAGUAGUC
rnacentral:rRNA from 1 species